UAUUUGGAAUUUGGACGUUCCGAUUGGUUAGUCUCACGCAUGGGAUAUGUUGCUACUUGUACUUAACCUUUUACCGCCAUUUUUAUUUACAAUUCCCUUAAUAUUUUGAUGGACUUGUCGCUUGUCAUCACUGUUUAUCAACGACGAGUAUGAUUUGAUACGCAACUAUUUGAAGUGUACGAGCUUGCGUAAAAGGAAAUAUAUGUUAUAAUCAGCGACACGCACCAACACGUACAAGAGCAAUAAAUUUUGUAAUUAAUAUUACGUAUUCCUGUGCUUUUAUCAUCUACGAGAAGGAUGUGGUUCUAUUAUUUACUCGUUGUAUUCGGCGUUUUCGAUGUCGCGAUGGCUUCCAAUGGUUUCGAUUUCGGAGACACUCUGGCCUUAAUCUUAGGAUUAAGCAUUGCGAUUGUUGGAUUCUUUGCUUGCAUGGGAGCUUAUGCGAGAAGGCGAGGUCACUUUGAAUCCUUGUGAAGCUUUGCAAAGCUUUUAAAAUAUGUUCAACGUAUAACAAGGAAAUUUAACCUUUCAAGGAAAAUGAAAAAAGGCAACUUGAGGUUUUCUGUAUAUAUAAAAGGAUAAUCUGUACAAAUAGAUUAGAUAAUAUACAAAACAUAUUAUAAUGAUGUAUUGAGUUUAUAUAGAAUAUCAAAUAUAUUUGUUAUAUAAUAAAAAAUGUAAUAAAUAGGAUUUU